rnacentral:rRNA from 1 species
AUUGAACGCUGGCGGCAGGCCUAACACAUGCAAGUCGAACGAGUGGCGGACGGGUGAGUAAUGUCUGGGAAACUGCCUGAUGGAGGGGGAUAACUUCUGGAAACGGUAGCUAAUACCGCAUACCAUCAGAUGUGCCCAGAUGGGAUUAGCUUGUUGGUGGGGUAACGGCUCACCAAGGCGACGAUCCCUAGCUGGUCUGAGAGGAUGACCAGCCACACGGGAACUGAGACACGGUCCAGGCUCCUAAGGGAGGCAGCAGUGUGGAAUAGGGGACAAUGGGCGCAAACCUGAUGCAGCCAUGCCGCGUGUAUGAAGAAGGCCUUGGGGUUGGAAAGUACUUUCAGCGGGGAGGCGUUACCCGCAGAAGAAGCACCGGCUAACUCCGUGCCAGCAGCCGCGGUAAUUC